GAUGAACGCUGGCGGCGUGCCUAAUACAUGCAAGUCGAGCGAACAGAUGAGGAGCUUGCUCCUCUGACGUUAGCGGCGGACGGGUGAGUAACACGUGGAUAACCUACCUAUAAGACUGGGAUAACUUCGGGAAACCGGAGCUAAUACCGGAUAAUAUAUUGAACCGCAUGGUUCAAUAGUGAAAGACGGUUUUGCUGUCACUUAUAGAUGGAUCCGCGCCGCAUUAACUAGUUGGUAAGGUAACGACUUACCAAGGCAACGAUGCGUAGCCGACCUGAGAGGGUGAUCGGCCACACUGGAACUGAGACACGGUCCAGACUCCUACGGGAGGCAGCAGUAGGGAAUCUUCCGCAAUGGGCGAAAGCCUGACGGAGCAACGCCGCGUGAGUGAUGAAGGUCUUCGGAUCGUAAAACUCUGUUAUUAGGGAAGAACAAAUGUGUAAGUAACUAUGCACGUCUUGACGGUACCUAAUCAGAAAGCCACGGCUAACUACGUG
rnacentral:rRNA from 1 species